AUAAAUAUAAAAGAAUAAAGAAUAUGCAUUUAAGGAACGUGUUCAAAGCAUACGACUAAUUAGAAUACUAAAAGAAAUAAUAUAAAAUGGAAUGAAUAAAAGAAUGAGUCCCACACCAAGAUGACUCGAAGAUGCCGAUGCGGAAGUGCCUUGAUGCCGGAAUUGUAUGCCUCGAUUCUAAGUCCUGAAGGGGGCGCAAAACAAACAUGAGUGGACCAAGUUGAUAUAUAUAUAUAAUAAAAAUUUAUCAACGUACUAACCCCCAGGUUUUAUGAAAACACAUAUAUAAUGAUAAACAUAGGUUUUUCGAAACCUAGCAUGAUGUGCAGUAUCUCAAAUCAUAACUCAUAUAUAAUAAUCACUAGUGAAUUGUCCGAUAACCCCCAGGCCCCAUGCCGGCUCCCCGUCUCUGAGCAGACAGUCAGAGGAAAAACACCUUCAGCCCCAAUGCCGGCUCCCGUCUCUGUGCUAAAUAGCCAGAGGAAACACACUCCAGGCCCUAUGCCAACACCAAACCGUCGCCCGGGACGGACUGGAAUCUAUCCUUACGUCCCGUAGCAGAAAGGACCACUAGGUAAGUACGAAACCAUUGAACAUAUAUAUAUUGAAAAACAACUUCAUAGUAUAAAGUCAUCCAUCAUCUAUACUAUAAAGAGGUGUUCGAAACAUGUUCUAAAUAUCAUAUCGUCAUCCAUUGGAUCCAUUGGAUAUUCUAUAAGAACAUGGGUUAUAGGAAAAAUAGUAAUAAUUCAAAGUAGCCUCAGUAAGCAUGUUAUCUCACAAAACGUUUCAUAAAACGUAAUCAUCAAUUCAUGCUUUUUAUGAUGCAUUCUACUAUAAAAAUGCAUUUUAGAAGGGGUCCACUCACAGUACUUAGCCGCCGAAGAGCCACGCAACCUAUCGAAGAAGGAACGCCACAGAUAAUCGCCCCUAAGCACAUAAAUGGUCCAAUUAAUAAAACUAUAUAAUAGAAAUUGAAUUUGGAAAAACGGACGUCAGAAACGGAUUCAGAACGUCGAAUUACCUAAAAAGGGUACCGGACGAAACCCGAAAAGUCAACCCUAAAGUCAACGUUGACCGGGGAUCAACGGUCAAAUUAGGUCAAACGGGUUUUAGACUUGAAAUCCGGAUUAGGGUUUAGGUUAAAUAGGGUUAGGACCUAUUGGGUUUUGAACUAAAUAAAAUAAGGGAAUUGGGUUGGAUGGGUUAGGCCCUAAUAGAUUUUAGGAACCUAGGGUUUUUGGGUUAAAAGGGUUUAGGAUGGAAAAAUUGGGGUUUGGGCUUUAGCCCAAACACACACACACAUGCAUGGCAUGCAUGUGCAUGCAUAAACACACACCACACACACUGCACGCACGGCAACACACACAAGGCACAAGGCCUUAAGGCCUCACUAGGGCAGGGCUUUAAGCCCCUUUAAAUCAAAACCGGCCCAAGGCCAUUUAAUAAGGCCCGAGGCCUUUGGGGUUUUAAAACAAAAAGAAUAAAAACAAAAACUGAAAGGGAAAGGGUUUUGGGCUAAAACAAACGGGCUUAAGGCCCAAGGGAAAGGGAAAGGGAAGGCCGGAUGGCCUUGGUUUGUCGAGAGGGAAGGCCGGAAAUUCGGCCGGAAAAUUACCCCACUUUAAACGGCCAUAACUUUGUCACUGCUCAACGAAAUCAAGCGAAACAAAAAUGAAAGUUGUAGCCCUGGAAGAGACGAAGAGAAUGAUACUUCACACGACGUCUAACUCGCCGUGGUUUGGCCGGAAAUUGCCUCGAAGCCUCGGAGGUCGCCGGAAACUGGAUAAGAUUUCAAAUGAGUAUAACUUAUUCAAUACUCAAUGAAAUUGAGUGAAACAAAAAGGAAAGUUAUAGUACUUGACGAGACGAAGAGAUUGAUACCUUGCACGCCGGCCAACUCGCCGUGGUUUGGCCGGAAAUUCUCUCGAAAGUCGCCGGAGAUGGGUGUGCCUACACCCGUGGUGGUUUCGUCCUAAAAACCUCCAAAAUCAAGAAAUAAUCUAAUUUAAAAGUCAUUCCAGCAAUAUUCAAGGACGAAAUAGAGAUAAUUAGGGGCUUACCUAAUCGAAGAUUGAAAAAUCUCGCCGGAGUCCCCUUUCCGGUUUUCUGGGGUCGCGGGAACGAGAGGGAGAGAGAGAGAGAGAGCAGGACGAGAUGGUGAAGGGUGAUGGUUCUUCCUCGCACACUCGUGUGCCUGUGCGUGUGUGCUUGUGGUGCAGAGAAGGGAGAGAAGUGAGAGCCGACAAGGAGAGACAGGAAGACAGAAAACGAAAAAGAAGAAGGAAGAAAGGAGAGGUUCACAGAGGGGGACAGAGAGAGAAGAAGGAGAAUUUGCUUGGGGUGCUGCCACGUGGCAGGUUUAGAAAGAAAGGGAUCCAGUGCUUUGGAUCCUUUGGUAGACAAAAAUGAUGAAAUUGAUAUAUUUAAAACAUUUA
rnacentral:lncRNA from 1 species